rnacentral:rRNA from 1 species
AUACGGAGGGUGCAAGCGUUAUUCGGAAUCACUGGGCGUAAAGGACGCGUAGGCGGGUUGGCAAGUCAGAUGUGAAAUCCUACAGCUCAACUGUAGAACUGCAUUUGAAACUGCUAACCUAGAGUAUGGGAGGGGGAGAUGGAAUUAGUGGUGUAGGGGUAAAAUCCGUAGAUAUCACUAGGAAUACCGAAAGCGAAGGCGAUCUCCUGGAACAUAACUGACGCUAAGGCGUGAAAGCGUGGGGAGCAAACAGGAUUAGAAACCCUAGUAGUCC